rnacentral:miRNA from 1 species
UGAAGAAGAGGUAGCAACUGA